GUAGGUGGCAAGCGUUGUCCGGAAUUAUUGGGCGUAAAGCGCGCGCAGGUGGGUUCUUUAAGUCUGAUGUGAAAGCCCCCGGGCUCAACCGGGGAGGGUCAUUGGAAACUGGGGAACUUGAGUGCAGGAGAGGAAAGUGGAAUUCCACGUGUAGCGGUGAAAUGCGUAGAUGUGUGGAGGAACACCAGUGGCGAAGGCGACUUUCUGGCCUGUAACUGACACUGAGGCGCGAAAGCGUGGGGAGCAAACAGGAUUAGAUACCCUGGUAGUCCACGCCGUAAACGAUGAGUGCUAAGUGUUGGGGGGUUUCCGCCCCUCAGUGCUGCAGCUAACGCAUUAAGCACUCCGCCUGGGGAGUACGGUCGCAAGACUG
rnacentral:rRNA from 1 species